GACGAACGCUGGCGGCGUGCUUAACACAUGCAAGUCGAACGGAAAGGCCCUGCUUUUGUGGGGUGCUCGAGUGGCGAACGGGUGAGUAACACGUGAGUAACCUGCCCUUGACUUUGGGAUAACUUCAGGAAACUGGGGCUAAUACCGGAUAGGAGCUCCUGCUGCAUGGUGGGGGUUGGAAAGUUUCGGCGGUUGGGGAUGGACUCGCGGCUUAUCAGCUUGUUGGUGGGGUAGUGGCUUACCAAGGCUUUGACGCGUAGCCGGCCUGAGAGGGUGACCGGCCACAUUGGGACUGAGAGACGGCCCAGACUCCUACGGGAGGCAGCGGUGGGAAAUAUUGCACAAUGGGCGGAAGCCUGAUGCAGCAACGCCGCGUGCGGGAUGACGGCCUUCGGGUUGUAAACCGCUUUCGCCUGUGACGAAGCGUGGGUGACGGUAAUGGGUAAAGAAGCACCGGCUAACUACGUG
rnacentral:rRNA from 1 species